UUUAAAUUCAAUCUUUACUAAUACAUACUGCAGUGAAGGAGAGUUUUUGCAUGAAUUCAAAGAUUCAUGGACACUUGAAAGGUCUCUAACAUAGGAAGUAUAGUAUAAAAAAACUCAUAAUUUGGGGUGUAAAUAAUUCCUGCUUUUAUAAAUCAGCAUCUAGUAGUACUACAAUAAAAUGAUGGAAUAAAACCAUAAAAGAAACUGACAGCUGUAACAAGCAAAAAUGUAGCCCUAAAUCUAAAUAUCCGCUGCCAUAUAUUCAUAUUCUCCUUUUGUCCUUCUGUAGUACUUACAGUUCUGAAAAAAUACCAAAGCUACUGUAGUACUAAACUCUCUGAUUUUUGGUGUGCGGCCAGCUCCAUAAAUUUGCAUUUAAACAAAUAAAAUCCAGAACAGUGUCAUAUGUCUUUUUUUUUUUCCUGAAACAGUUCUUCAAGCAUAAUUUGAAGAGGCACUGUCAACUUAAAAAUCACAUUUUGGUCUGAUUUCUUUUCCCAUGAUUUGUUGAUGUAACACUUAUGAUUACUAUUACUGGAAGAGAUUAGAGAAACUAUCUUCCUGUAUUUUAUUCAGCUUGUUUACUUUGUGCUUUUUAUAGCAAUUUGUGCAUAGUCAUCUUAACUUGCAUAGUCAGUCCUUUUGCCCUAUUUGUGUGGUUCUUUUAUUCAGCACCCAUGCAGACAAAAAAAUUAAAAAUAAGUGAAAAAGCACAAAAAUGGGAAAUGGGGGGAACACUUAACUUAUAUAUUUAAUAUUUUAUACAAGAUGAUGGUGUCCCUUUAAAAAGUACAUUUUUCAACUAUUAAUAUUUUAGCUGGCUUUACUAAAUAUAUUUAUAAAACAUAUACAUACAGGUUUCCUGAGAAGUUCAAAGCACUAAACAGCAGUCCAUGCUGUAUAUAGCUUGAUUACUUUGGGAAGAAUCAGAUAUUUUAAAAAUAUUGUAUUAGAGAUGAACCGCAAAGAUCACACCCAAAUCUGGAGUGGAAGUUUUACAAAAUUCAGUUCCCAAAGAACUAUCUCACUGUUCAGCGGUGGAAGAAAAUAUGUAGCCUGGCAUUUAUCCUUUUCUUGACCUGUUGUUAUAGACAAAAGGAAAGUUAAGAUCCGAAUAGAUCUGGGUUUCCCCGAACUUUGGGAUGUUUGGCCGAGGGAUUUGGAUUAUAGCCAUUCCUAAUUUCUACUCAUUGGUAUCUGACAAAAAUUGUUUCAGACGUUGAUCAUGUUACUGAAAAUCUUUGACCAAUGACCAGUCACACUUUCUAAUUUGUCUGAUUCUACUGUACUAAACAAAAUUCCAUAAUGUCAGCAUUUGAAUGUUACAUGAUUAAUUACAAUGGUACAGUACAUGACAUCAUCUCUCCCUCACUUUUAUUUAUUUGCCCCAGAAAGUUUAGAUUGAUGGUUAGAAUUCAGUUUCUUAUGCUCAGAAAACUGUUCUUCUUAAAGGGAAGCUGAAAAUAUACAUUUUAAUAUUUCCAAAUCAUAACACGAAAUCUGUGGAAGAAGAUAAUACUAAGAUCUUAAGUUGUGAAACCUAAAAUGGCAGCAUUGGAAGCAUAACUGACCAUAUGCAACUACCAGACUGCUUGUAUUUAAUUGGAUUAAAGUCUUUGUAGCAUUGAUAUCACCUUUUUAUGAAAAUGUUUCAAUGUUUUAGGGAUUGUUUCUACUCUCCCUAACGUAAAAGGCAAAGCUACUAACUGUUAUAUGUGUAAUUACAAUAUUGGCAUUUAUAUCAAUGAGAGCAAUAUAGAACCUUUAUGCAUGGGGGUAAGGUGAGUGUUUUGAGGAAGGGGUGUUAUAACACUACUUUCUUGAUUAUUCAGUAUUCCUUUUAUUCUAAAUAUCCUUGACAGAAAGAACCCUAAAUUCCAAACAACGAUAUUUAGCCCAAAUUUUCAAAUCAGGACAGCAAACUUAGGUUCCUUAAUCCAUAGUUAAUUCCCCAUCGCCUGUUUUCAGAAUUGCUGAGCCCCCACAAAUCCCACUGACAUCAAGUCAAUGGCAAAUUUAAGUACACAGCACCUUUGAAAAGUAGGUGGGUUCCUGCUUUUCAAAAGCAUGUAUUUUGGUGGGUUCCUAAAUAUAGUUUUAGGAGCACCCAGGUUUUUGGAAUUGAAACUUUUGGCCUUGAUGUACAAUAUAAGGACCUAAUCCUGCAAACUCUUACUCACAUAGUCAAUGGGGCUACUCACAUGAGUCAGGGCUUGUGGAACAAUAUCUCAAAAUAGUGCUAACCUGCAUAUUGCAAAUCCACCUGCUUAUAUUAACAGUGGAACUGCUACAGGUUACAUUUAGGAUUUAAGAAUACUGAAAACCUAAACCCAAUGUAGAAUAGUUUUAUCUGAGUAAUUUGUUCUCUAGCCAUUUUAUUGCAAUUAUGACGCAUACAGGAACAUUUCAACGUCAAGCUAGAAAAGACCUGUCCACAUAUUCAAAUACUGUUAAGUUUGAAAAUCAUCUUUUUUUUUCCUGCUUUAUUUUACUUACUAUAUUUCUCACUUGAACUAUACUAUCUCUGUCUUUCUUUAGUGUAGGCUUUAUUGUCAAAUUAUAAUUCUUCUUGCUUUCAAAUGGCAUGGUUAUUGUGUAUUUAUCCCUCCAGAUACAUAAUAUGACCAUUUCUCUUCCUUAUUUUUGUAUCUUUUAUAGCUACAAUAGUUUUCAGUUCAUAGCCCCACUUCAUUAAUUGGCUUUGUAUAAAGACUUAUUUUACAUACUUGAAUAGAAUUUUACUCGUUGAAUUAUCUCCAUAUAUAAAAUAGCAUAGUUAUUGAACUAUCAGACAAAAAUAGGAAUACAAAUAAAAUCUUAUGUUACCAUCUGAAAUGCUGCCGACCAAAAAGGAGAUAGGUACACUCUUGUCUACAUCUAAAUACCCCUGUACAAGUCAUUUACUUUUAAUCCAUGCUAUAUAUUUUGUAAUUUUUUUCUGAUUUCUCUCAUUAGAAAAUUUUAAAAAAUAAUAAGGUGCAACCUUUGCAUGGGAGUAGUUUUAGUAGUUUUCAUUAUGACAAGUUCGAUAAUUAUCCUUUAAGCAUGACAUGAAAGUUCCAGUGUCUUAAAAAGUUUCUUCUGGAAUAAACAAUCAUUCACAUAGGUAUUACAAAAUUUAAAACAAAACACACAAAACACAAAAACGUGGAAACAACUGUGUUUUUAUAGCAAAGAAAUUCACGUUUAAACAACUAUGGACAAAAGGGCAAAACUGUUUUAACAAAAGAUUUUUUUCUGUCAGAACAGAUUAAAAUUCAAAUUCUCAAUAGCAAGAUUUAAAAGCCAUUUAUAUAGAAAAGACAACAUCAGAUGGGGUUAUCAUAAUUAAUAACAAAAUAAAGAAGAGCUAUUAAAUGUUACAUGUCAGGGCUUUACCCCAUCUCAAUUAGCAUUCAGGAAGACAUCUACUGUGGGCACAGAUUACCCUAUCAAAAGGUUCUUCCACUUUCCUCUGAACCAUCUGGUUGGCCAUUGUCAGAGACAAGAUAGUGGACUAUAUGGACUUUUGGUAUAAUCCAGUAUGGCAAAUUUUUCUGUAUCUAGCGGUAAUUUCGGUAUUUCCUAGUUCUUGUCAAUGGCUUGUGUAAUUUGUAAAGUAUAAAUAUUCUCACAAUCAUCUUGAUCCAACACCGCUUUCUGAACCUACAAAUCAGCACAAAUUAAGCUGUCUACAUAACUCUUUUUAAAAGUUUACCCCUGUAUAUUCCUUACUUAGGGGCAAAUUCUGCUUGCCUUUGUUGUUGAGGGCAUAGGGAGUUUUGCUUGAUUAAAGUGAGAAGGAUCUGGUCUUUAUUUUUCAUUCUGGAAUAAUUGCCAUUGACUUAACUAGAAUCACAAUAUGGCACUCAGCACACUUACUCCAGCAUGCUUCUCAUAGAUUUUUAACGAGAAAACGAUAUGGCCCUCCUGCCAACCAUAUUAUAACCCCACUGCAGUCAACGGCAUUUAUGUCAGAGUGAGGACUGAACACCAGACCCUUAUCACUUUAUCAGGCAAAACUCCCAUUGGCUUUAAAAAACAUGGUAAACAGCAUUUGGCCAUUUGGAAAGGAACACAGGGUUUAGCUUUUAGAAGAAUUAGUUAUACAUGCUCAUUUGUGCUAGAUCAAAACCAGAAAGUGUUGAAGGCAAAAGAAGUUGUUCAUGAAGGACUGAGGGCCAUAUCUUCAUCCCACUGAAAUCCAUGGUGAAACAUCCAAUGGACCACAAUUUGGAGUUGGUCUACAGAAUUUUAUUCUAAUACAAUCCUGCCAAUAGCUUUUAUUUUGAUAAUAUUAAUAUUGCCGUAUUUUUUAAUAAACCAAAUGCCCAAUGUUACAAAAUUUGCUUUAUUCACAGUACAGUAUAAAAAAUACUAUUCUAAUCUGCAUUAAUAUUAAACCAAAUAUGAUUGUUGUUGUUUUUUCUGACCUCAUGUUUUCUAUAAAUAUCCCUUUACGGUUUUGGUUUUUGUAUGUAUUUAAAUAUGCAAGAAUUACGCAAUAUAUCAAUUAAUGUAAUUUUAUUAAUCAGCUACCUGAACAUGUUUUUCUUGCAAUGUAGUGGAAAGCAAAACAAAUGUUCUUUUUUCAAAUGUCCAAAAUUAAAUUAUUAUUCCACAAGUAUUAUAUUACAUAUGCAAAAUGACCUGAUAUGUUUAGAUAUCUGACUGUAGUUCUCUAGUAAAAUGAUUCAUUGGCAAAAUAUUUAAUUUAAAAUUUAGAAUUUAAAAUGAAUUACUUAUGUUUUCUUGAUGUGAGACAAUUUUAAGUUCACAGUAAUUUUAAAUAUUAUGCAUUUCAAAUAUUAAUAUUUUCCAUGUAUUAUUCACUGUCUUCCAGGUUUCCUAUGAAGUUAGUGACACUUCAUAUUUCAAAGGAAGAAUUGUUUCUUUUUUCAGUACUAAUGUUCUAUUAAUUCACUUUGUAAUAACGCUCUGGUUCAAAUAAACAGAAUUGCAUUAAAUUACUUAUGCCAAAAAUCAUGCGGAAGUUGUUGACAUUAUAUAAAAUUUCCUUUUCCAUUACUAUUUUAUAUGUUAUUAUCUAGGUACUGUCUUUUUCAGCUGCAAUACAUGCCCUUCUUUAGUUAGUUUUAGAAACACAAGUAUAUACAUAUGUAUAUAUACAGGCAUAUGAAUAUGUAUUUUAAAUGUAUUGUACAGAGAGAAACCUCCAGCAAAUUACAUAUAAAUAUUCUCUAUGAACUUGUGGGUCUGAUUUACAGUUUCUGUAGUAGAACAUCCAAUUACUGCUGGGGGGGUUUCAGUAACUUAGUGUGAUUUUCUGUUCCAGCAUGUGUUUUAAAAUACAUAAAAGGUAAAUUGUCUGGGAACUUUCCUGUUAUAAAGGCCUAAAGAUAACCAGCUUCCUCAUCAAAUCCAAAGAAAUACAAAAAUGCUGAAUGUGAAAAGAGAACCUAUUUAUGACCCCUAACAUUCAUAUUUUUCAUAGAAGAUCACAUGACUACAUAACUACCUUCAAAGAUAAGGUGGAAAAAUACCUGGUGAUGCAUAAAAGCUUUACUAAGUGAAUCACCAAAUAAUUAUAUAAACUACUCUUCAACAGUGAGGUAUAUAUAAGGCACUAGAUGCAAAAUAGUGAACAGUAGUAAGAUUACUUAUAAAUAAAUGUAAAGAGCUAAAAAAUAUACAUGGCUAGUUGUCCAACCAACUCCUCCUCAAUGUCAUUAAAAUCAAACCUUGUUCUAGGUAGGAGUGCAAUUCCAUUGUUAUUCCUAACUAAUCUUCAAGGUAGAUCCAUUAAUAUGUUUUUUAUAAAAGUAUAUGCUCUGAACUUUCAGUUUUGAUACAUUGUUUAGUGUAAAUCAGGUAAGGUCUCCGACAUUUGUUUAACCUCUGCCAUUUUUUCCAUUUCGAAUUUAACAAAUCUGAACAUUAAAAAAGUAACCAACUUGGUACAAAUAUUUUAAAAGAAGUAAGCAACCUCCCUUCUGGUUUGUGACCACAACAAAACGAUGUGGAUGACAUUAAUCAACAUGAGAACCUCUAGGUCUGCAGUAUGGAACCGUCUUCUAUUUCUAUCAACUCUUCAGACGCUAGGAUUUUGACAUACGAACUAGACCCCCCAACUCCAACUUCACAACAGAAGACACCAUCGUAUAGACAUACAAAGACAAAUGCUCCCUUUUCUGUCUAGAAUAUUUUCUUCCCCCCUAAAAUAUUAAAAGAGCCUGAACAAAGCAAGUGCACGUCAAGCUAGACCCAAUUAAGGAAAGGCGAUAUAUUUACAAGCACACCGCGAGACACACGCACACACACCACUUACUGAGAGCGCUGGAAGGGAUGGAUUUGCUCCCCCAGCGAUACCUACCUUAGGAGUGCUCGCAGGAAGGCCUUGCUGCAAACUGAUUUCAACUCUUCAUUCAAUCCACCAGCAGUCAGAGGCCUGUGUGAAGCUUUGUCAUUUCAUGAGGCUCAGUCAUACCUACCUGAAGCCAUAUAUACCUUUCAGACCGAAGGAAUGAUUGGCUGGUGUAAUAUCUCUUGUUCAGCCAUCAACGUGGUUAUGUGAACUACAAUAUGGGUAAGGUUUAAAAACAGAACAAAUCACAUUACCCAGGAAAGCUACAAAUUUGGAAUCCAGUCAACUCCACCUUUUCAUCUGACUGCUGUACUGUGGUAUAAAGGAAAAUAUUUUUAUAUAACAUACUAUAUAUGUAGCAUGCCUUUAACAUUUUAAUUUGUAAAUGCUAACUAGGCAGUUACCCUCCACUAGUAUAUUAUUACAUAUCUAAUCAUUCUCGAAUAUAAGUAGAUGAAUACUAAAUUCAGUAAAUAGCCACUUUGCAUUUCCCAAUAUCUCGACAGUAUUCUUCAUUUUGCAAAGAUGUCUAUUCGGAUAAAAUAUUUUUUUAAACUUCUUUGUAGCUUUAAUUGUCCUGGAACUUUAGGCAUAAACGUGGCGAUCACAUCCAAAUAAUAUUUUUCAGAGCCAGAGUGGAAAGCAACUCUUAUCAAAUUAACUUGUUGCUCAUUUUAAGUAUGCAUGUUUUCUAUUUGUUUUUAUGCGCUUCGAGGUAUACAGACAGUAACUCAUGCAAGAAUAAGACUGAGGCACUGAUCUACUAGAAUUGUUUUCUAGAAUUGUUUACUAGAGUUGCAUGUGAGAUAGAAAAAAAGACAAAACACAAACUGCACGAAAAUGCCAUGUUUGGAAAUGUGGUAUAUUAACCAUCACUGGCCUCUAAACUCUAAAUCCCCUGGUCAUACGUCCAAAAAGUGUUUGCUAAACAUGGGUAAAUCCAAGAUGAUGUGGUGACGCUGCUGAAGAAAAUUCCAUUCUAAAUACCUACACGAAUAGCCUGGAAAACUGUCAAUGCUGACUUUGCCAGAUGAAAGAAGGUGGAAAGUUUUGGUUAUGUAAAUAUCUCACUGCAUUUUUCAGCCAUUUUCAGUACAGGACAAGGUUUACUGGGUUGUAAAAGUGAACACUUUGCACAUAGAGAAAAAAAGAGUAAUGUCUAUUAUUGUUUCUCUUGUUGUUUACUUCUUUCUAUUAUGUUUUUGACCAGAGACUUAGCUUUCUAUCUCCAGAAUUUAAUUGUUUUUUACAUUGUAAAGACAAAGAAUAAAACUUGCUUGGUCACUCUGAAACCGAUGAAACUCCAGUUCGAGAAAACAACCUGUCUUUACGGCCUGGCAGAGUUUGUUAUGGAUUUACAUCAAACCUGGCCCUGCCCCAGCCCACACUCUCUGUCACUUCCAAUUUUACAGGUGUUUAGCUGGUGCUAAGGGAAUGUUAACUUGAUCGUGUGCAUAUAGAUGUACAGAUCGAUCUUCAUAAGAAUAAACAUAUGUACCUAUCCAUAAAAACACAGGAGUAAAUUUCUAACUUAUGUGUCCCAUGGAGCCACCUAGAAAAAUAGCUAAAAGGAAUUGGCUCCUUGAGCAAUAUGUUAAGACUAUAGACAAUAUGUCUGCAAAACGAUAGAAAGUCUGAGCAGACUCUGAAGUAAAGCUUUUUUUUAUAUAUGUUUGUAAAUAUCUACGCCUGAAACUUCUUAUAGUUUUUGCAUAUGUUUAGUGAAGCGGACUUCAGACGAUCUAACUACAUUUGAGAUACGGAAGUAAUCGAAAGAGAAUGAGUAGCUACUUUAUUGGGAAUAUUGCAGGAACUUCUGAAGGCUUAAAAUAGCAAUUAAAUAUUAAAUGAUGUAAAGACCCCUAUGUCUCUUUGUUAUAUCUGCAGCGGUUUAAAAGCUUUAUUUGGAAAAAGUCUGUGUGGUACAUUAGUAACCCUGAAAUAAUGUUUUUCUUUAUUUAACUGACUUCACUUACUCGGAGGCUACUUGGCACCAAAUUAACAAUCUUUAGGAUGGCUUGAUAACGAUUAGUCGAACUGUAAAGUCCAAUGUAGAUGUUUGCAUUUUUAUCUUACGGUGUAACGGCUGUUUGGACUUUAAAUCUGCUGUAUUUAGGAUAUGAAUUUGCUCUAUUCUUUUUAUCCACCCUACCAGUUCACUAUUCUGAUGUCACAAUUUAUAUAACUAUAUAAAAUAUCAUAGACAUGUAGUUUUGAGUGGGCAUUUGUUCCUCUGACAACUUUGGAGGAACAGAAUUGUUCAAUGUAGCAGCG